GACGGAGGAUGCAAGUGUUAUCCGGAAUCACUGGGCGUAAAGCGUCUGUAGGUGGUCAAAUAGUCAACUGUUAAAUCUUGAGGCUCAACCUCAAAAUCGCAGUCGAAACUAUUAGACUAGAGUAUAGUAGGGGUAAAGGGAAUUUCCAGUGGAGCGGUGAAAUGCGUAGAGAUUGGAAAGAACACCGAUGGCGAAGGCGGCAUCCUGGACUGGUACUGACGCUCAUGAGCGAAAGCGUGGGGAGCGAUCCGG
rnacentral:rRNA from 1 species